GAUGAAGAACGUAGUGAAAUGCGAUACGUAAUGUGAAUUGCAGAAUUCAGUGAAUCAUCGAAUCUUUGAACGCAUAUUGCGCCCCCUGGUAUUCCGGGGGGCAUGCCUGUCCGAGCGUCAUUGCUGCCCUCAAGCACGGCUUGUGUGUUGGGCCCCGUCCUCCGAUCCCGGGGGACGGGCCCGAAAGGCAGCGGCGGCACCGCGUCCGGUCCUCGAGCGUAUGGGGCUUUGUCACCCGCUCUGUAGGCCCGGCCGGCGCUUGCCGAUCAACCCAAAUUUUUAUCCAGGUUGACCUCGGAUCAGGUAGGGAUACCCGCUGAACUUAAGCAUAUCAAUAAGCGGAGGA
rnacentral:misc_RNA from 1 species